rnacentral:tRNA from 1 species
UCCCUAGUGGCUCAGUUGGUAAAGAAUCUGCUUGCAAUGCAGGAGACCCAGGUUCGAUCCCUGGGUUGGGAA